rnacentral:rRNA from 1 species
CCGGGCGUUAAGUUGCAGGGUAUAGACCCGAAACCCGGUGAUCUAGCCAUGGGCAGGUUGAAGGUUGGGUAACACUAACUGGAGGACCGAACCGACUAAUGUUGAAAAAUUAGCGGAUGACCUGUGGCUGGGGGUGAAAGGCCAAUCAAACCGGGAGAUAGCUGGUUCUCCCCGAAAGCUAUUUAGGUAGCGCCUCGUGAAUUCAUCUCCGGGGGUAGAGCACUGUUUCGGCUAGGGGGCCAUCCCGGCUUACCAACCCGAUGCAAACUGCGAAUACCGGAGAAUGUUAUCACGGGAGACACACGGCGGGUGCUAACGUCCGUCGUGAAGAGGGAAACAACCCAGACCGCCAGCUAAGGUCCCAAAGUCAUGGUUAAGUGGGAAACGAUGUGGGAAGGCCCAGACAGCCAGGAUGUUGGCUUAGAAGCAGCCAUCAUUUAAAGAAAGCGUAAUAGCUCACUGGUCGAGUCGGCCUGCGCGGAAGAUGUAACGGGGCUAAACCAUGCACCGAAGCUGCGGCAGCGACACUGUGUGUUGUUGGGUAGGGGAGCGUUCUGUAAGCCUGUGAAGGUGUGUCGUGAGGCAUGCUGGAGGUAUCAGAAGUGCGAAUGCUGACAUAAGUAACGAUAAAGCGGGUGAAAAGCCCGCUCGCCGGAAGACCAAGGGUUCCUGUCCAACGUUAAUCGGGGCAGGGUGAGUCGACCCCUAAGGCGAGGCCGAAAGGCGUAGUCGAUGGGAAACGGGUUAAUAUUCCCGUACUUGGUGUUACUGCGAAGGGGGGACGGAGAAGGCUAUGUUGGCCGGGCGACGGUUGUCCCGGUUUAAGCGUGUAGGUGUGUGUUCCAGGUAAAUCCGGUUCACUUUAACACUGAGGCGUGACGACGAGGCACUACGGUGCUGAAGCAACAAAUGCCCUGCUUCCAGGAAAAGCCUCUAAGCAUCAGGUAACAUCAAAUCGUACCCCAAACCGACACAGGUGGUCAGGUAGAGAAUACCAAGGCGCUUGAGAGAACUCGGGUGAAGGAACUAGGCAAAAUGGUGCCGUAACUUCGGGAGAAGGCACGCUGACACGUAGGUGAAGUGAUUUACUCAUGGAGCUGAAGUCAGUCGAAGAUACCAGCUGGCUGCAACUGUUUAUUAAAAACACAGCACUGUGCAAACACGAAAGUGGACGUAUACGGUGUGACGCCUGCCCGGUGCCGGAAGGUUAAUUGAUGGGGUCAGCGCAAGCGAAGCUCCUGAUCGAAGCCCCGGUAAACGGCGGCCGUAACUAUAACGGUCCUAAGGUAGCGAAAUUCCUUGUCGGGUAAGUUCCGACCUGCACGAAUGGCGUAAUGAUGGCCAGGCUGUCUCCACCCGAGACUCAGUGAAAUUGAACUCGCUGUGAAGAUGCAGUGUACCCGCGGCAAGACGGAAAGACCCCGUGAACCUUUACUAUAGCUUGACACUGAACAUUGAGCCUUGAUGUGUAGGAUAGGUGGGAGGCUUUGAAGUGUGGACGCCAGUCUGCAUGGAGCCGACCUUGAAAUACCACCCUUUAAUGUUUGAUGUUCUAACGUGGACCCGUUACCCGGGUUGCGGACAGUGUCUGGUGGGUAGUUUGACUGGGGCGGUCUCCUCC